rnacentral:rRNA from 1 species
GAUGAACGCUGGCGGCGUGCCUAAUACAUGCAAGUCGAGCGAACGGACGAGAAGCUUGCUUCUCUGAUGUUAGCGGCGGACGGGUGAGUAACACGUGGAUAACCUACCUAUAAGACUGGGAUAACUUCGGGAAACCGUAGCUAAUACCGGAUAAUAUUUUGAACCGCAUGGUUCAAAAGUGAAAGACGGUCUUGCUGUCACUUAUAGAUGGAUCCGCGCUGCAUUAGCUAGUUGGUAAGGUAACGGCUUACCAAGGCAACGAUGCAUAGCCGACCUGAGAGGGUGAUUGGCCACACUGGAACUGAGACACGGUCCAGACUCCUACGGGAGGCAGCAGUAGGGAAUCUUCCGCAAUGGGCGAAAGCCUGACGGAGCAACUCCGCGUGAGUGAUGAAGGUCUUCGGAUCGUAAAACUCUGUUAUUAGGGAAGAACAUAUGUGUAAGUAACUGUGCACAUCUUGACGGUACCUAAUCAGAAAGCCACGGCUAACUACGUG